rnacentral:rRNA from 1 species
CCUGGGAUUGUCUUUAGGCCUUUUCUAAGCAGCUUAGGUGGAAGGCGAAGAAGGCCCCUUCCAGGGGAGCCCGAGCCAUCAAUGAGAUACUACUUUUGAAGAACUAGAAUUCUAACCUUGUGUCAAGACUUAUAGAUUAAGGGACAGUCUCAAGUAG